AGAGAGAGAGAGAGAGAGAGAGAGAGAGAGAGAGAGAGAGAGAGAGAGAGAGAGAUGGUCUCUAGCUUUGCUGUUUGCCGCGUUGGCUAAGCGCGAUCAUCAGGUCGUUCUUCAGAGCAUCCUGCUUCGACCUAUCCGCCAGCGUCUGGACGCUCCUGAAACACACACACACACACGUUAGACAGGAACACACACAUUUACAC